CUUUUUUUUUACCCAGUUCCUGGUUCCUUUAGAUGCACGAACAGUAACAGUCUGCUGAGUUAUGUGAAGGAUGUUGUGUAUCACUGCCACCAGCGUUUCUAAAGCUCCCGCUCUUCACAUUCUCUGUCCCAGAAGGGACUCUCAAUGCUGAAGGUGUGAAUCAUGGCAAUACAGUGAAAGACGGUGAUGUACUGCUUUUGAGGGCAUGCAUGUAUAUGAUUAACGGAUGGAAGUGCAGGACUCCAAGAUUUACUUCUUUCCCUUUCCAGCAGAGUUACCUGAGAGGAGUAAAAUCUGCUGGUGGAGUCACUCCAUUAUUCUUAUCUGUGGAGAUCUAGAUCUUGAUUUGAAAGUUUCUGAGAAAAUCUUCAGCUCAGACUUGAGGUCAACUUUACCAACUGAAGGAACUGCAUUUACUGCUCAACCACAUCUAAUUUGA
rnacentral:lncRNA from 1 species